UACGUAGGGUGCGAGCGUUUGUCCGGAAUUAUUGGGCGUAAAGGGCUCGUAGGCGGUUUGUCGCGUCGGGAGUGAAAACACCGGGCUUAACUCGGUGCUUGCUUUCGAUACGGGCAGACUAGAGGCAUGCAGGGGAGAACGGAAUUCCUGGUGUAGCGGUGAAAUGCGCAGAUAUCAGGAGGAACACCGGUGGCGAAGGCGGAUCUCUGGGCCUGUCCUGACGCUCAGGCGCGAAAGCGUGGGGAGCAAACAGG
rnacentral:rRNA from 1 species